rnacentral:rRNA from 1 species
AUGAACGCUAGCUACAGGCUUAACACAUGCAAGUCGAGGGGCAGCAUGAACUUAGCUUGCUAAGUUUGAUGGCGACCGGCGCACGGGUGAGUAACACGUAUCCAACCUGCCGAUGACUCGGGGAUAGCCUUUCGAAAGAAAGAUUAAUACCCGAUGGCAUAGUUCUUCCGCAUGGUAGAACUAUUAAAGAAUUUCGGUCAUCGAUGGGGAUGCGUUCCAUUAGGUUGUUGGCGGGGUAACGGCCCACCAAGCCUUCGAUGGAUAGGGGUUCUGAGAGGAAGGUCCCCCACAUUGGAACUGAGACACGGUCCAAACUCCUACGGGAGGCAGCAGUGAGGAAUAUUGGUCAAUGGACGAGAGUCUGAACCAGCCAAGUAGCGUGAAGGAUGACUGCCCUAUGGGUUGUAAACUUCUUUUAUACGGGAAUAAAGUGAGGCACGUGUGCCUUUUUGUAUGUACCGUAUGAAUAAGGAUCGGCUAACUCCGUGCCAGCAGCCGCGGUAAUACGGAGGAUCCGAGCGUUAUCCGGAUUUAUUGGGUUUAAAGGGAGCGUAGGCGGACGCUUAAGUCAGUUGUGAAAGUUUGCGGCUCAACCGUAAAAUUGCAGUUGAUACUGGGUGUCUUGAGUACAGUAGAGGCAGGCGGAAUUCGUGGUGUAGCGGUGAAAUGCUUAGAUAUCACGAAGAACUCCGAUUGCGAAGGCAGCCUGCUGGACUGUAACUGACGCUGAUGCUCGAAAGUGUGGGUAUCAAACAGGAUUAGAUACCCUGGUAGUCCACACAGUAAACGAUGAAUACUCGCUGUUUGCGAUAUACAGUAAGCGGCCAAGCGAAAGCGUUAAGUAUUCCACCUGGGGAGUACGCCGGCAACGGUGAAACUCAAAGGAAUUGACGGGGGCCCGCACAAGCGGUGGAGUAUGUGGUUUAAUUCGACGCAACGCGAAGAACCUUACCAGGUCUUGACAUCGAUCUAAAGGCUCCAGAGAUGGAGAGAUAGCUAUAGAGAAGACAGGUGGUGCAUGGUUGUCGUCAGCUCGUGUCGUGAGAUGUUGGGUUAAGUCCCGCAACGAGCGCAACCCCUGUUGCCAGUUGCCAGCAUUAAGUUGGGGACUCUGGCGAGACUGCCGGUGACAAGCCGGAGGAAGGCGGGGAUGACGUCAAAUCAUCAUGCCCCUUAUGACCUGGGCUACACACGUACUACAAUGGCUGUAACAAAGGGAAGCGAAGCCGCGAGGUGGAGCAAAACCCAAAAAAGCAGUCUCAGUUCGGAUUGAAGGCUGAAAUUCGCCUUUAUGAAGCCGGAAUUGCUAGUAAUGGCAGGUCAGCAUACUGCCGUGAAUACGUUCCCGGGCCUUGUACACACCGCCCGUCACACCAUGAGAGUUGGGAAUACCCGAAGCCUGUGAGCUAACUUUUAGAGGCAGCAGUCGAAGGUAGAAUCAAUGAUUGGGGUG